rnacentral:rRNA from 1 species
GACGAACGCUGGCGGCGUGCUUAACACAUGCAAGUCGAACGGUGACGCGCCUUCCUUUUUGGUGGGUGUGGAUGAGUGGCGAACGGGUGAGUAACACGUGAGUAACCUGCCCCCUUCUUCUGGAUAACCGCAUGACAGUGUGGCUAAUCCGGGAUAUUCUGGGUCUGUCGCAUGAUGGGUCUGGGCAAGAUAUUGUUUCGGCGGGGGAUGGGCUCGCGGCCUAUCAGCUUGUUGGGGGGGUGAUGGCCUACCAAGGCGGUGAGUAGUAGCCGGCCUGAGAGGAUGGGCGGCCAUAGGGGGGCGGAGAGGCGGCGCCGACUACGGGGGGAGGCAGCGGGGGAGAAUAGAGCACGAGGGGAGCAAGGAUGAAGCAGCGACGCGGCGGGAGGGAAGGAGGCCGGCGGGUAGUGAACCUCUGUCGGGAGAGAAGCAGGCCUGGCUCGUAUGUGGGGGGGUUGACGGUAGCGGGAGAAGAAGCGCCGGCUAACUACGUG